UACGGGGGGGGCAAGCGUUGUUCGGAAUUACUGGGCGUAAAGGGCUCGUAGGCGGCCAACUAAGUCAGACGUGAAAUCCCUCGGCUUAACCGGGGAACUGCAUCUGAUACUGGAUGGCUUGAGUUCGGGAGAGGGAUGCGGAAUUCCAGGUGUAGCGGUGAAAUGCGCAGAUAUCAGGAAGAACACCCGUGGCUAAGGCGGCUCUCUAGUACGGUACUGACGCUGAGACGCGAAAGCGCGGGGAGCGAACAGG
rnacentral:rRNA from 1 species